UACAGAGGUCUCAAGCGUUGUUCGGAUUCAUUGGGCGUAAAGCGCGUGUAGGCGGCUCGAUAAGUCUGCUGUGAAAGUCCAGGGCUCAACCCUGGGAUGCCGGUGGAUACUGUCGAGCUCGGAGUCCGGAAGGAGGCGAAGUGGAAUUCCUGGUGUAGCGGUUGAAAUGCGCAGAUAUCAGGAAGAACACCCGUGGCGAAGGCGGCUCUCUGGAACGCAACUGGACGCUGAGACGCGAAAGCCGUGGGGAGCAAACAGG
rnacentral:rRNA from 1 species